AGAUAGGAUAAGGAGAGCAUGGGCAGAUGGAGAAGGCCAUGGGGCGUACAUGGACCUGGAUCAGAGCCUCCGAAACUCUGGGCGGUGCUAUGAACCGCGUGACCAUGGCCCGUGCAGACCCUCGACCAGAUUGGGGAGAAGCACAAGGGCGCCUUCGCCCGGAUCGAUCUCCUCGAUUGCCAGAAGGCAGAGUUUUGAGUAUUUCCUGAGUGACAACAGUCAGCACACAGAAAUGGCAUCAGAAGCUAGACAAGCAAUCAGAGAAAUCGGGUGAAAACAAGAGAAAAGUUGCAUUUAUUCCCCUGAGCCUGAAGGUUAUGGUUUUCUUUCGUGAUUCGUCCGGUAUGAUUUCCUACUUUUAAUAGUUUUAGUACUGAAACUUGCUAUUUUAUUCCAGGAGAAUGUUACAAUUGCAUCUGAUUUUGACAUGACCUUUUGAGGCAGUAAUAAAAUUGCUAAUGGCAAUGUCAUUAAAUGUGCACGAUGUUCUCUUCUAUGCUUUAUUAACUUUUUUUUUUACUGUCUGGACAUUACUACCUUUGAACAGUUUUGUGACACCUGCCUAGGUAUAUCCAAGAAGCUGAAGGCGUUGAUAGCUUUUCUUGAUUAGAUUGCCUUAUGUUUUUUCUUUACAGUUAAAUCAUACAUGUUCAUCUUAGGAUUAGCUAGAGGAUGAAGUUUAUGGGCAAUCUGAAGAGUGCCCUCAUGAGAUAAAUUUAUGGACUGUCUGAACUACAAUGCUCUCAGAAUUAUUUUUUUGUAUCGCUUCGAAAAAUAGGAAAACAACAUCGCUUCUGGAAACUGUGUAUAAACCUUAGUGUAACUUCCUAGCUAUGACUUCUCCGGUAAUGUUCUGAAAUAAUAUAGGCUAAUGUUAUGCAGUCAUGGUGCUGUUGGCACUAGAAUGAAGUGUGCGUUUUCUUUUGAAUAAACCGUACUGUUGUAUUUCCUUAAUGAUAUAACUUGAUGAUACAACUUCUUUUCAAA